AAGCUCGUAGUUGAAUUUCGGGAUCGAUUUAUUGGUCGUGCAAUAGUACGUACUGGUAUUAAUGAUUCCUACCUUCUGACGAACCAUGAUGUCAUUAAUUUGGUGUUAUGGGGAAUCAGGACUGUUACUUUGAAAAAAUUAGAGUGUUUAAAGCAGGCUCACGCUUGAAUACAUUAGCAUGGAAUAACGAAAUAGGACGUUUGAUUCUAUUUUGUUGGUUUCUAGGAUCGACGUAAUGAUUAAUAGGGAUAGUUGGG
rnacentral:rRNA from 1 species